GAUGAACGCUGGCGGCGUGCUUAACACAUGCAAGUCGAACGGAAAGGCUCCUGCUUGCAGGGGUACUCGAGUGGCGAACGGGUGAGUAACACGUGGGUGAUCUGCCCUGCACUUCGGGAUAAGCCUGGGAAACUGGGUCUAAUACCGGAUAGGACGAUGGUUUGGAUGCCAUUGUGGAAAGUUUUUCGGUGUGGGAUGAGCUCGCGGCCUAUCAGCUUGUUGGUGGGGUAAUGGCCUACCAAGGCGUCGACGGGUAGCCGGCCUGAGAGGGUGUACGGCCACAUUGGGACUGAGAUACGGCCCAGACUCCCACGGGAGGCAGCAGUGGGGAAUAUUGCACAAUGGGCGCAAGCCUGAUGCAGCGACGCCGCGUGGGGGAUGACGGCCUUCGGGUUGUAAACUCCUUUCGCUAGGGACGAAGCGCAAGUGACGGUACCUGGAGAAGAAGCACCGGCUAACUACGUG
rnacentral:rRNA from 1 species